UGUUCUGUGGCUUAGUUGGUUUAAGCGCCCGGUCUAGCAAAUACGGUGUCGUGGGUUUGAAUCUCACCAGAACGC
rnacentral:tRNA from 1 species